rnacentral:rRNA from 1 species
AUUGAACGCUGGCGGCAGGCCUAACACAUGCAAGUCGAACGAGUGGCGGACGGGUGAGUAAUGUCUGGGAAACUGCCUGAUGGAGGGGGAUAACUACUGGAAACGGUAGCUAAUACCGCAUACCAUCGGAUGUGCCCAGAUGGGAUUAGCUGGUGGGUGGGGUAAAGGCUCCCCUAGGCGACGCUCGCUAGCUGGUCUGAGAGGAUGACCAGCGACACUGGAACUGAGACACGGUCCAGAUUCCUCCGGGGGGCAGCAGUGGGGAAUAUUGCACAAUGGGCGCAAGCGUGAUGCAUCCAUGCCGCGGGUAGGAAGCGGCCCUUCGGUUUGUAAAGUACUUUCAGCGGGGAGGCGUUACCCGCAGAGAAAGCACCGGCUAACUCCGUGCCAGCAGCCGCGGUAAUUC